CGAUGCAACGCGAAGAACCUUACCUGGUCUUGACAUCCCGGAGACCCUUAGGAAACUAGGGGGUGGCUUCCAUCUGGAAGAAUCUGGAGACAGGUGCUGCAUGGCUGUCGUCAGCUCGUGUCGUGAGAUGUUGGGUUAAGUCCCGCAACGAGCGCAACCCUUGCCUUUAGUUGCCAGCAGUUCGGCUGGGCACUCUAAAGGGACUGCCGGUGUUAAACCGGAGGAAGGUGGGGGAUGACGUCAAGUCCUCAUGGCCUUUAUGACCAGGGCUACACACGUACUACAAUGGCCGAUACAAAGGGCAGCGACACUGCGAGGUGAAGCCAAUCCCGUAAAAUCGGUCUCAGUCCGGAUUGGAGUCUGCAACUCGACUCCAUGAAGUUGGAAUCGCUAGUAAUCGUGGAUCAGCAUGCCACGGUGAAUACGUUCCCGGGCCUU
rnacentral:rRNA from 1 species